AAAAAGAUUUUGCCCCGUCAUUAGCUCUUGGAUCAGCAAGUUCCAAAGAUUUAGCAGUUCUAGAAGUUUUCAGCAAAGAGCAAGUUAAUGAAAACUAUACCUAUACAGUCACUUGUCCUAAAGAAGGUAAUAUGACUUUUUAUACAAUAAAAAUCUUUUUCUGUUCAGUUGUACUGGACACUUUUCCUAUAUUUGCUGUUCAUCGUUUUUUUCAAAUCUAAACUUCUAACAAUAUCUAUAGUUAUUUCUUAUUAUUAAUGCAUAAAUUUUUUUCCUGUGAACAUUCAUUGUAUACAUACUAGUUAUCCUCGAUUCGCUGAGAGAAAAUCCAACAUGGGAAGACUUGAAUUCAACAAUAAAUCAUAAUUGGAGACAAGAGAAAUUUAGCUCUAUUCACUGGAAAUUCAUCUCAGCUAAUUCUUCUGUCACAGGUACUUGCAAUUUAUUUUUAUAGAAUCAAAAAGUAAAGAUUGCCUAUUUUUUUAAAUUUUAAAUUUUCUAACUGACAUAAGUUUUUAUUUUUUACUCUGAAUGCCAGGAAAUUCUUUCUACUGUGCACCACAUCAAGUUGAACUAGAACCAUUAGAAGACAACUCAGUACUCACUGAUUCACAUCCCUACAAACGAACACUUGUACAAAAUAAU
rnacentral:lncRNA from 1 species